GUUCUGCUUCACUUUCCUGGCUUCUCAUGUCGUGGAAAAACUUCAUUUCUACUGAUUCCAUUGUCUAGAAGAGAGAAGGACUUCAGCUUCACUCCAACGACGUGUAAGACUGCUGAAAAAAGGUGGGAGAACAGUGGCCCUUGGAGAUGCACAGUAAUCAUCCCGCUAAAGCAGAACUACACUGUCAUCGUAUUAAAGGGUCUUUGCAGAGGCAUUAUAGGGGGCUGGAAUGGAACUGAUAAAAUUUUGAGACAGCUCGCCAGCAAAUAUGAAAUAUGGCUCUCAG